ACAACAAAUAUUUGCCGGGAAGGAAAGCUGCUUUUCUGUGUCUUGGCUCUUCUGUGCCAUUCCACCUGUGGGCUGUGCUGCUCUGCCCUGUGGAAGAAGGCAAAGAAGUCUUGGCCAUGGGGCUCAUCAGCCUUACCAGGUGAGACCCAAAGAGAAGACCCUGGAGGAGAUGGGUUCUGAUUUUCCAGGAAAGGGAGGGUUUGCAAGAAUAACACAGCUGUCUGCUACAGAAGCUAGAUGAAGGGCUGCCAGCUAAAACCCGACACCUCCUGCAGCUGCCCUGCUCUUAUUCCUUCUAUUUGCUGAAAGUUCCAGCAAUGCCUUCAGAAAGAUGGUGUCUCUGCUGCUGAUUCCACCGCAAAAUUCCCUCAAAGAGGAAUCUGUAUUUUUCCAGUACUGAGAAAGAGAAGUUAAAGUGUCCCUCAAAGCCAGGAGAAGGAGAAAUGUGCUUGCCAGGGUCCACAAUGUACUAUUAUUCUUGGGAUUUUGUAUUUUUUGUACUUUUUUUUUUAUAUUGCAGACCUUUAUUUCUGUCCUAUUAACCUUGUCAGCAAAGUGGCUUGGAUUUUUCUGAUGCUGAGAGAUUCUUAUUCAGUUUAUUUUUUAAGAGAGUAUUAUCUCAGUCAGCACCUUAUCAAAUUGACUAUUGAUGUACUAUUUUCUUUUGUGUACUUUAAACAGCUGUUGUAAAAGAUUCCUUUUCUCCACUAACUUUCUUGGUAGGUAAAACUUCUUUCUGCAAGUUAUUUUAUAAAUAUAUUCCACUACAGAUUACAUUUUGAGAUCUACCAUAUUAUAUGCAGUAAUGAUCUGAAAAAGAACUCAUUUUUGUGGUAGAAUUUUAGUUACUCCCUUUAUUGCCUUGUUCUUAGUUUAUGUUCAUGCUCAUUUAUCAAAAAAUGCAAUUUAAAAGGUGGAAUAUUAUCUUGUUCUUUCUAUCAGUUCAUCUCUGCUAACUCCUUCUAUUACUGCCACUCUCACUCUCUUUCUUACAGAUGCAGUCUCUCAUUUACAGAGAGAGACUCUAACUUCUGUGCUUUCUCCAGUGAUCUAUUCCUUUCCUUUUGUUUUGAUUUUUUCUUUACAUUCUUUUUUCCUUAUGAAUUUUUCUCAUUGCAACAGACUCUCCCAAGCUGACAAAUGGGAAAAAACAGGAGACAAAGACUCCUGAUCCUGCCCUGUUUUCUUCAAAAUGCUGUAGAAAAGAUAAUUUUCUUUGCCUCUUCCUUGGUGCGUGUUCCCUGUUUGUAUCUUACUGCAUGUUUCUCUCCUACAAUGUUCAUUUUUUGCUGCUUUUCUGAGUCUUUUCACAGCAGCCCCUGCUACCUCUCUCCUUAGAUAUGUACUUUUCCCCAUUCUGCCCCUUCUAUUUUGUCAGAAGUAUUCAUCUACAAAGCUGCCUCAUUGCUUUCUUCAAUUAAAGAAUAAAGUUCUUCUUCCCCUCCUGCAAGUUGCUAAUAGAUGUGUUAGUCAUCUCUUGGGUCUUGCUGGCAUGCUACCCAGUGCUGAUUGACUCCUUAUUUCUGGGGCUAUUCCAGCAGCUUUUACUCCUUUCCAGUGUCUGGCCUCAUGCUGAUGGUUUCUCUGCAUGCAGUGGUGCAGCAGAGAGAUGCCUGAGGAAGCUGUACCUGAGCCAGAAGAGGACACUGCUGCUUGUGCAGUGCUCUCCUCACAGUGUUUUCCUCCUGCCAAGCUGACUCCCUGGGAAGGAGGUCAUAAGGGUGUAGCUAGGCCAGUGCUUAAGCGUCUUAGGGUGGAAAUGAGGGUGUGUAUUCUAUUGCCAUCUGUUAGAGGUGGGGCUGUUAUCUUCUGUUAAUUGGGCAGUUUUCUUUAUUUCUUCCACCAGAAGAAAUUUUCUUUCUUUCCCAUCCUCCCUCCAGGAGAUAUCUUCUCUUAAUGGGCCAUUGAGUGUCUGAUGACAUGAGUCAUCAGACUUGAGUCUGAGGGCCAUGACUGAUAAAAAUUACAUCAUCCCAUUGUGACAUGCUCCACCCAGAGGGAGGAGCCAAGCAUUCCUACCUAGAUAUAAUCUGAGAUUUGGAACACCACAGCAGCCUUUUUCCAGUGGAUUCCCAGAGGAGCAGCUUUCUUCUCCGCUGGAUUUCCAGAGGAAGAUGAGGCUCAUCUACACCACCACUGGACCUUCAGAGGAAAACUACACCCUUCUACAGGAUCACUGCUUCAACAUAACCACACUUGUUACUCCAGAAGGACUGCAGCCACCAUUUCAAUUGGAUGGCUACCGCCUGAUCCACAGGGUGUCAGGUCAUAUUCUGACUCUGUCAGUGGUUUGUUUUCUUUUUUUGUACUAUUGCAUUUGUAUUUUUGAUUUUCCUAAUAAAGAACUGUUAUUCCUA